UUACACCUACUGAUUUUUAGGUGGUUAUGAUGGAAAUGAAAGUCUUUCAUCUGUUGAGAAAUACAAUCUUAGUAAUGACACAUGGGUUUAUGCGAAGGAUAUGAAAAUAGAAAAAAAUCGUCAUUCAGCUUGUGUUGCACAAAACAAGAUUUAUGUAGUAGGAGGUGUGAAUUCUAAUGGCAAAGUUGUGAAAUCAAUUGAAUGUUACGAUGAUCAAACUGACAAGUGGAGUGUUGUUGGUGAAACUGAAGUUGAAUUAUACAACCAUUCUCUGGUUGCUGUUUAAACAGCAAAGAGGGACAGGGACAUGUACCUUUCAUCAAGACAAUGUUAAAAUUCGAUCUACAGCAAGCAACAGCAUUUGCAAGGUCUAGACUGAAAUCAAACCUAGUACUUCUUUUUCUAUACCUAAAAAAA